GACGAACGCUGGCGGCGUGCUUAACACAUGCAAGUCGAACGGAAAGGCCCUGCCUUUGUGGGGUGCUCGAGUGGCGAACGGGUGAGUAACACGUGAGUAACCUGCCCUUGACUUUGGGAUAACUUCAGGAAACUGGGGCUAAUACCGGAUAGGAGCUCCUGCUGCAUGGUGGGGGUUGGAAAGUUUCGGCGGUUGGGGAUGGACUCGCGGCUUAUCAGCUUGUUGGUGGGGUAGUGGCUUACCAAGGCUUUGACGGGUAGCCGGCCUGAGAGGGUGACCGGCCACAGUGGGACUGAGAUACGGCCCAGACUCCUACGGGAGGCAGCAGUGGGGAAUAUUGCACAAUGGGCGGAAGCCUGAUGCAGCAACGCCGCGUGCGGGAUGACGGCCUUCGGGUUGUAAACCGCUUUCGCCUGUGACGAAGCGUGAGUGACGGUAAUGGGUAAAGAAGCACCGGCUAACUACGUG
rnacentral:rRNA from 1 species